AUUUGACUAGUGGUUCACAGCUUCUCAAUUUUUAAUGCACUGGACUUUUUUGAAACUAUAAAUAUCCUGCAUAAUUCAAAUUUAGUCACAUAUUUUUCAAAGCAAAAAAGCAAUUCUCCAUCAAUAAUUACGUUUAAGGCAGGCGAGGAACUUCGGAAAUUAGAAUAUUCUCUUGGAUCAUUCUUUCAAAAAUUCGUUGAUCUAACAAGGUUAGAUUGGUCAACUUGGAUGGUGGCUGAGCGGUGCGAGGACUGCCAAGAAAUAGCACGUCAACCAACACAAGCUACUAUGUUUAGGGAUUUGUUGAGUUUUGGAAGAUCUUGGUAGGCAGCAAAUGCAAGUGCCUUAUCAAAAUAUACAGACUAACUCUAGCACUAUGAGCUCAAUCCUGGAAGAGUUUCAUCGUUACAAGCCCCUACCUUUAAAGAGAUGGCUGGCCCUUUGGCAACCGAAGAAUGGAUAAAGGGUUCGGAAUGGAUCUUCAAGCAUCUCUAUGCCCAAAACGUUUUAUGUGCGGAGUUCAUGCUAGUUGAUGCACCAGCCCACUGGUGGGAGUUCAUUUCAUGCAUUAGGACUGAGGCACAACAACAUAACCUCACUUGGGCAUGUUUCAAAGAGGAGGUGAUUGAAAAAUAUUUUCCACAAGCUUUGAGAGAUCGUAAGGAAACAGGGUUUCUGCAACUUAAGUAGGGAAAGGUGUCAUCAGUUGAUUAUGAGAGGAAGUUCGAACAACUUUCUAGGUAUGUAACACAUCUUGAUAUGAUCCCGGGUGCACCAUCAAUUUCCAAGAAUUCAUUAAUUGAUUGGAGAAGGUCGAAGUCAAGAACCGAGCCAAGUCGAGACUUCCAAGUAGCUAAUAAAAUUGGUCACUUAUGUAUUCGAGCAACGGAGUCUAAAACCAUGAAGUUCACGUGUCAAGGAGUAAAUUUGAUGAAGGGGCCGAAGCCUAAUUCAAUUAGGAUUAGCUCGAUAAUUACAGCCGAAGACGGAGCCAAAAUCAAAGGUUGUGCGAUCGCAUAGCUUCCAACCUUUGCGAUCGCAUAGAAGCAAACAGGGAAUUUUUCGGCAGCAUUCGGAACAACCAUGCGACCGCACUAAAUUGUGCCAUGCUGUCCCAUAGCACUAAACAGAGGCGAAAUCUUUCAUUUUCUCGCGAAGUGUUUUAAUUGGUUGAAUUUCUUAUUUUUGGAAACUCUAAUAUUAUUAGGACUUUAGCACACGGUUUUUCCAUAUUUUAGGAGUUUAUUUUUAUCUUUAAUUAUUUUUCUAUAUGUCUAGUAUAAAUAGGAUUUUCUUUCAUAAUUGUAAUACAAGACUUUUAUUAUGAAAUUAGAGAAUUCUCUCUUGAAGCUUUGCUUCAUUUAUCUUUGUUCUUGAAUGGACAAAUCCGAACUUAUCAAGACUAAUCAUCUUGUGGCGUUCAAAACAUCGGCUUGAAUCAUUGAAUUGUGUAAUCCUCUUUCACGUCAUCGUUAUCAUUGGGUUUUUUGGUUAAUCUUUUAUUGGUUCAAAUCUACAAUCCGGGUGUGAUUUCUUCAGUCGUGUGAUCAAGAGGUCCUUCACAGCACCGUUCUUGUUGGGUUGCUUGGUUCACUAUUUUGGGGUCAGAUCCAUAAACCUUGGUCAUAUUGGCGUUCUUGGGAUCCGAUUCAAUAUCCUGUGGGUUCGAUUGCAACCUUGCUAAUCGGGUUUGCAUCACAUCUAGUGGAUACAGAGCAAAAGAAAGCUAGAAGAUUCUAACUCGGAUUGCACCCAAAAAUUGGAGGAUUUUGGCAUCUGAUGAAUUCACCAUGUAUAGUCAGGUUCUACAACGAGCUUAAGCAAUUGCAAAUUGACUAGAACUUGAUCAGACAACUCAAGAAAGUACUGAAUUUUUCGGAAAGGGGAAAUAGAAUAGGGCAAAUGAAGGUAAAGGAAAUGGACAAAAUAAGAGGGCUAGUGUUGAAACGUGGUCAGGGCCAGGUAAGCCAAAUAAUGUUCUUACUCCAUGUCCUAAGUGCAAUAAAGACCAUAGAGACGAGUGUUUAUAUGGAAAGAAUGUAUGCUAUCGAUGUGAAAAGCAUGGUCAUUCUACCAAUUGCCCCCCACUAAAGAGGGACAACAAACAAAGCAAAAAGAGACCAGCUAAAGGCUUUAACCCAAUGAGAAGCAAUUGAGAAUUAGGAUAUGAUGGCAGGUAUUCUAUCAAUAUCUGAACUGCUUGCUUAUGUUCUUAUAUACUCAGGAGUUGCUCAUUCUUUGUUUAUACUGUUUUCAUUGCUAAAUCUCGUAUUAUUUGAGAAGAAGCCAUUAGUGUUUUGGAAGUUACUAUCCCAUUAACAGUACACUUAAUACAAAUCAAAUAGAUAGAGUGGUCAAAAUAGAAAAGAAUGUGUAGCUAACAUAUACCUUUUAGAGAUGAAGUUUUUCUUUUUCUUUUUUCUUUUUUUAUUUUUUAAAUGCCAUCUUAGAAAUGUAUUGGUUGGUAAAUAUUUGGGCAACUAUAUGAUGCUCUAAAAAGAAGGAAAUUUUUCAAAAGUCUGGAGAAGAUGAGACCAAGGUAAGAUAUCUUAGACUUUUCACUCGGAUAACAAAUUUCAAAGAUGAAAUUACCUUAAGGGAGUGAGAUUGUGACACCCUGAAAUUUUAUGGAAUAGAAAUUUGGUCUAGUCAAGUUUUUAGGCAAGUCAAUUAACUAUACCUAAGAUUUAAGUUAGAUCAUUAUGAAUAUCUUUAUAGUGGAGGAAUUUAAAGUGAAAAUAUGUUUUACAUUCUUAUAUCUUUGGGUAAAUAAAAGUAGACUUUUAUAGAGUGAGAUUCAGUAUAUCAAUAUCGGGCUCAUUUUGUAGUCCGAAUAAAAUAAUGUAUGUUGAGCUUAAGAAAAUAUAAUGUCAUGUAAGUUAAGCCCAAUUUAUUUCAAUUCAAGGAAACAUAUUUAAUAAGUAAUUUUUUAUUAAUAAUGUACUUUUUAAGAUAAUUAGCAAAAGAUUAUAAUAGAUAAUCACGUUUAUCUUUAAUUUGAUAAAGAUUGAAUCAUAUCCAAAUUCUAUUUUUAAUUUAAAACCAAUUAUAUCAAAGUCAGUUUUUUUCCCUACGUGUACACGUGUUGCAUAUAAUUUUGCAAGGUAAUAUUAUAUAAUGUAAUUUAUCUUUAUUUUAUCCCAUCAACUCCUAUCACUUUGCUUAUGGGACACGGCCAUUCCAACCCUUUUGCUGCAAAUGUAAUGAUUACCUUACUUUUUGACUAGAAAUAAUUUAUUUAAAUACAUUAAGGGAUAACUUCAUCUGUCUAAUAGUUAAUUAUUGUGAAUUAGGAAGUUGAUAAAGUUCUGAACCACGGUCAGGAGCAAAUUUCAGAAUUGAUAGGUUCCAAUUUAAUUAUAACUACUACAGCCCCGAUGUAGACUAGUUUAGGUUAUCCUACAUUUUUCAAAAAGAUUAAAAGUCAAAUGAUAACCCUAUUUGGUUUAGACUUCAUUAUUACAAAUCUAAAAUUAGUCUUCAAAUUCAACUCCACGUGUCAUUGUGGAUGAUUAUGAGUUAUUAUGAAAGUAUAAUCCAAACAUUGAAACCUAGAUUUAUCCUAAUUUGGCAAGUGGUUCACGGCUUCUCAAUUCCCAAUGCACCAAGACUUUUUUUAAACUAUAAAGUUAAAUUUUAGUCCCAUAUUUUUCAUAGCAAAAAGUAAUUCUCCAUCAAUAAUUACGUUUAAGGCAGUCAAGGAACUUUGGAAAUUGGAAUAUUCUUUUGGAUUAUUCUUUCGAAAAUUUGUUGAUCUAACAAGGUAUGAUACUAUGUGCAAGUUGAUCUAUCCUUGCAAUAUUAUAAUUUUUUACGUCAUUUAUUUCAUGAAAUGCUAAUUGACUUGCGAUUCCUUAUGAAAUGAAAUGUGAGAUUUCCUUCAAACUUUUUCAAUUGUGGUACAGAAAUGUGUUAGAGCAUUCGAUUGAUCACUAAUUGCUCUUAAUGAAAUGAUGGUAUGAAAUGUUAUAAAUUUAUGUUUAAAAAGUUGUUAUAUUGUUAUGCACAUAUCUUACUGAAUAUAAAUUACUCAUUCCUUCAAUUUUAACAUUUCAGGUUAGAUCCGUCAACUUGGAUGGUGGCUGAGCGGUGCGAGGGUUGUCAAGUAAAAUUUUUUAGGAAAACAUUUAAAAAUAAUUAUGUUAGGAUAUUUUUGUGUUUCUAUUUAUUUUCAUUAAAAAAUGUUACGCGACAUUAUGUUUAUUGAAUUUAGUAUUUGGGUGUUCAAAUAGAUUAAGAUUUUUAAGUUUCCAAUUUAUAUUUCCACUUGAUGUAUGAUUACGAAAUGAUAUUGGUAAUACGUCAAUAUUUAAGUCCAUAAAAUUUGGGACGUUAUAGAUAUGCUUACAUGUUGAUGUUGUUGUUCAAUAUGGUUGAAUUAGAUUAGUUCGAUGGCAGGCAAGAAUAUAGAAUAUGUCAUUGUUGUAGACAGAGAGGACGUAUGCUGCCAGCAUGCCUAAAAAAGAGAAGAUACCCAAAUUGUGGUACUUCAAGUGGUGUAAAAAAUUCCCCUACGAAGAGUGUCCAUUGCAUGAUGAUGGUGAAUCAAUUGGCAUUACAAAUGGAGGUGAACAUGAGGAUGAUUUGUCGCACAUGUUGAAAAUGCUUGCUAAGCUAAGCAAGGAAAAUGACUUGGAGAUUUCGCUCCAAAUAAAUAUACGCAAAAGGAAACAAGUUUCAGGAAAUGUAAUCUAAAAUUUGAUGUAUUAGGAUGGUGAUGAAUGGUUUCUACGUGGUGAUCGUUUGGAAUUGUAAAUCUAAACUCUUUCUAACUGUUUGUAAUCACACAAGUAUAUAUGUAUGUAUUCCACCAUUUUGA